rnacentral:rRNA from 1 species
GACGAACGCUGGCGGCGUGCUUAACACAUGCAAGUCGAACGGUGACGGAGGAGCUUGCUCCUCCCGAUCAGUGGCGAACGGGUGAGUAACACGUGAGUAACCUGCCCCAGACUCUGGGAUAACCUCGGGAAACCGGGGCUAAUACCGGAUACGAGACGCUCCGGCAUCGGAAGCGUCUGGAAAGAUUUAUCGGUCUGGGAUGGACUCGCGGCCUAUCAGCUAGUUGGUGAGGUAACGGCUCACCAAGGCGACGACGGGUAGCCGGCCUGAGAGGGCAACCGGCCACACUGGAACUGAGACACGGUCCAGACUCCUACGGGAGGCAGCAGUGGGGAAUAUUGCACAAUGGGCGCAAGCCUGAUGCAGCAACGCCGCGUGGGGGAUGAAGGCCUUCGGGUUGUAAACCCCUUUUAGCAGGGAAGAAGCGAAAGUGACGGUACCUGCAGAAAAAGCGCCGGCUAACUACGUGCCAGCCGCCGCCGUAA